UUUUGUAAACGUACGACACGUCGAGAUAGACGGUACAGAUAUUUGGUGUGGCGUAUUCGUGGAAGGAUAUAAGGGUGAUUGUGCGAAAGGUGCACGUGUGAGUGUGUGGUGUGAGAAGUAGGGGAUUACUCCCCCACCUUUAUUAUUUCUCCAGGAGGAGAAAUAUUCCCAUUCUCUCUCUUUCUCACUCUCGGCUCUCUCUCUUCUCCUCUCCUCCGAAAAACUCCCUCCUCUUUUCUCUCUUCGAUUUCAUCUACCUAGGGUGUGAUUCCGGACAAGGUCCGAGAAUAAAAGUUGCUAUACGAAGCACGGGCUUUCCGAAUAUCUAAGAAAAUUCAUGAUCGGACCUCGUGGGAGCUCAGUUGACUUGGUCAAAAGGUCGGGUUUUGCUCAAAACCCUUGAGGUACACCACAGGAGCACAGUCAUGGAGAGUAUGGAGUGCAUGCAGACAUCAUAGGCCAAAGUUAUUUUCUAAAGUACUUGUCUUUCUUCGUAAAUCGAACUGCAUUGUACUAUUUUCUCUAAUUUGGAAUACUGUAUAUGUUUGACAGAUUUGUGAGAUUCGGGAAUUGUAUUGUAAUUUGGAGUAUCGUAU